rnacentral:rRNA from 1 species
CUACAGGGGUUUCUAAUCCUGUUCGAUACCCGCACUUUCGAGCUUCAGCGUCAGUUACGCUACAGCAAGCUGCCUUCGCAAUCGGAGUUCUUCGUCAUAUCUAAGCAUUUCACCGCUACACAACGAAUUCCGCCUGCUUUCCGCGCACUCAAGUCGGACAGUUCGCGCUGCAAUUCAGAUGUUGAGCAUCUACAUUUCACAACACGCUUAACCAACAGCCUACGCUCCCUUUAAACCCAAUAAAUCCGGAUAACGCCUGGACCUUCCGUAUUACCGCGGCUGCUGGCAC